rnacentral:rRNA from 1 species
GACGAAUGCUGGCGGCGUGCUUAACACAUGCAAGUCGAGCGGUAAGGCCCUUUCGGGGGUACACGAGCGGCGAACGGGUGAGUAACACGUGGGUGACCUGCCCUUAGCUCUGGGAUAAGCCUGGGAAACUGGGUCUAAUACCGGAUAUGACUCCAUGACGCAUGUUGUGGGGUGGAAAGCCUUGUGCGGCUAGGGAUGGGCCCGCGGCCUAUCAGCUUGUUGGUGGGGUGAUGGCCACCAAGGCGACGACGGGUAGCCGGCCUGAGAGGGCGACCGGCCACACUGGGACUGAGACACGGCCCAGACUCCUACGGGAGGCAGCAGUGGGGAAUCUUGCGCAAUGGGCGAAAGCCUGACGCAGCGACGCCGCGUGAGGGAUGACGGCCU